UUAGAUCACCGAAGUCAAGCAUCAUUCGGCGCGGUCAGUACUUGGGUGGGUGACACCUGGGAACACCGCGUGCCGUUA